GCUGAGUACGAGCGAGCGGGCGGGGUAGUACGUGGGAGACGGGCGGUGUGCGGGGUUACUGGGCGUAAAGGGCGCGCAGGGGGCCUGGCGUGUGUGCGGGUGAAGCUCCCGGCUUAAAUGGGAGGGGUCCGUGCAAACGGGUGGGCUUAAGCGUCGGAGAGGGGCAUGGAAUUCCGGGUGGAGCGGUGAAAUGCGUAGAGAUCCGGAAGAACACCAAUGGCGAAGGCAGUGCCCUGGCCGACGGCUGACGCUCAGGCGCGAAAGCGUGGGGAGCAAACAGGAUUAGAUACCCGGGUAGUC
rnacentral:rRNA from 1 species